CCAAGCCCAGCUGAUUUUUAAAUUUUUUGUAGAGACAGUGUCUCACUAUGUUGCUCAGCUGGUCUCGACCUCCUAGGCUCAAGCAGUCCUCCCACCUCAGCCUCCCAAAGUGCUGGGAUUAUAGGCAUGAGUCACUGCACCAGGACCUGACUUUCUUUUUCACACCCCAAGACAGAGAAUCCAUUAUCAUCCUAAGAAUCUUAUUUCCUUUGAGUGGAAAAGUAUUAGAGAUUAAAAUCUGGAUGUGGGGCCACAUUUAGUGUGGUCAGUGGCCUCCAGUGGCGAAGAGUCCUGGUGUGAGCAAACACCCCCAUGGUGAGGUCCUGCAAAUCCAGGGCCUGCUGGGCAGAUGAGGCAGAAGACAGAGGUAUUUAUACGUCACAGCUACUGGCAGUCCUUCAUGGCAUCUACCCUCCAGGCCUUCCUGACUGAGAUGAAGAAGGAAUGGCAGGAGCCACCAAACCGCCGGCUCAUUUCAUCAUUGACACACCUGCUACAGGCUUCCAGCAUGUUUACCUCUCUGCUAAAUCACAGGAGGAAAUCCAUACUAAUUCCUGGGGUUUGCUGGCCAAAAUGAUGUGUAACUUGGUGCAUGAAUGGCUCCUACAGGCUCUGGGCUGCUGCUUCUCUCUGCACAGACCCAGGAUUAGACGGACUCUUGCUCUGCCG
rnacentral:lncRNA from 10 species